rnacentral:rRNA from 1 species
UACGUAGGUGGCAAGCGUUGUCCGGAUUUACUGGGCGUAAAGAGCGCGCAGGCGGUCGUUCAAGUCGCGUGUGAAAGCCCCCGGCUCAACUGGGGAGGGUCACGCGAUACUGAUCGACUCGAAGGCAGGAGAGGGAAGUGGAAUUCCCGGUGUAGUGGUGAAAUGCGUAGAUAUCGGGAGGAACACCAGUGGGCGAAGGCGACUUCCUGGCCUGUUCUUGACGCUGAGGCGCGAAAGCUAGGGGAGCAAACGGG